AUUCUCACUCUAUUAUCCAGGUUGGAGUGCAAUGGCACAAUCUCAGCUCACUGAAACCUCUGCCUCCCGGCUUCCAGCGAUUCUCAUGCCUCAGCCUCCCGAGUAGCUGGUACUACAGAUGCCUGUCAACAUGCCCCCCUAAUUUUUUUUUUUUUAGGAGAGACAGGGUUUUGCCAUGUUGGCCAGGCUGGUCUGGAACUCCCAGCCUCAUGUGAUCCGCCCAAAGUGCUGGAAUUACAGGUGUGAGCCACCACACCCAGCCAAUGUCUCUACAUCCAUCUCUUUGAUUUUACUCUUGACCAGUAUUUCUCAAACGUCCUUUUACUUGAAGAAAAAAAAUUUAUGACUUCAAUCCUUCUAAGUCACUUUUUGAAUCACACAGCUUCUUAUAUAUUUACAAAUAUAAAAGCAGGAAUGAAUCCAUAUGCUACAGAUAUUGGUGAGUUGCAGUUGUGGUCUCUGAAAGGUGGUAUCCAUGUAGUCACAUUUUUCAAAAUAAAUAAAAGAUCUGCUGAGUUUGAUGAGGUUUAAAAAGGUAUGAGUCCUAUCCAGGACUAUGAUUUAGUCCUCACACAUAGUCUACUAGCCCUUAUAACCUUUUAAAAAAUGUAUGAUUAAUAAAACAUUUUUCAUUGACUUAUUCCUGGAGCUUUGCUUCCAUUGAGACCACCUGGGGCUUGGAGCACCCAGAUUCUCUAGUGAGCUGAUCUGAAUGCUAUGCCUUCAAAUUGCCUACCUGAAGCCUCCACCCCUUCCUCAACUAAAGGAUGAAAAUCGAAGCCAGAAGUUCAAAAUACACCUCUGAUUUUGAAGAGGCUGUUGGGAUUCUUAAAUAACAACAAAAAGUAGUUUGGUGCUCUUCUCUGCACAUGCUACAGUAAGCCUUUAGGGGAAUGUUCUGAGAGUGAUUACUGUCGUGGUAAGCAAUGGUUUUUGUAGGUGCUGGUUUGUGGGGUGAUUACUUGGGCUUAAUCUCUUUCUCAUGGGUAAAUGUGAAGCCUCUCCAGUUCACAUUUGUUAUUCAGGCAGAAAUCAACUGAAAUUUGUCUAUAAGAAGAUAUUGGGCUGGCCCCUGUUUUGCCUCUUAGCGCCCUUCCUUACCUAUCCUACAUGCAAGCUCCCCACUGGGAAAGGGCAGCUUCCUCCAUGGGAUCUGUCUUGUAUCUUGUCUCCAUAUUGUUGCUGGGAAACCUCUUCUUGAAGUCAAGUGAUAAAGUUGCACUUCUGUUUCCAAUGGCGCCCGUCCAGCCCGAAGUGAGACUGGCUGCUUUGUGAGAGCUUCUCAACUGGGUCGCCAAGCACAGUAGUGCAGCUGGAAAGUGUUUUCUCACUGUUGUGCCCCAAGACUGCGGUUAGUUUCAAAUUCCUAUGAAUGUGACUAAAAAAUGUUUGUGUUUUAGCCACAAUCACUAACAAAUUACACUCAGCUAUUCAACGCACAGACCAAAAGAGAGCCUGACCCCAUUAUCAAAACUCAAACCCAGAUGGUGAGGAGUCCCAGCCUAAUGAGGGCCUCUCAGUCAUUUCAAACAAAUUUCUUGUCAAUCAUGCCACAUUGCAUAUGGGGGUCUUCUUUCAAAGACAUCCAAGUUUGAGGACUCAGAGGCUUUCCACGGCUAAGCAAUGCCUUCCUCCUAAAAUUACUCAUUUUUCAAGAGCUUUGAGAAAAUCCUCUUCUCUCCUUUUCCUCCCUUCCUUCCCUAAAAAGAAAAAAAAAAAUCUAUCCUGUCUACACUAGACAACUUUAUCAGACUCAAAUAUCAAAAUUGGAGCAGCCAGAAAGUCUGAACUACAUUCUUGGCUCACUCAUCAGGGAAAGAAAAAAACAAAAUGAACUCAGAAGAAAAAGAAAGACAAUAUCAAAAAGCUUUAUUGAAUAGUCUUCUGAAUGUAAAAUAAAUUUACCAGAAACUGUAAUUCCAGGAUCCAAUGCUCACUUUGAUUGCAAUAAAGAGUUAGAAAGAAAACCACACUGUUGUCUGGAACUUGACAAAGGUACAAAGAGAAUCCCCUGUUUUUCCAUCUUUCUAGAUGAGAUGCAGAAUUUUGCCCUCUGCCCAAAAGGCUUUGGCCUUACAGGUCUGUCUUGACCCUGUGUUUGCUCCUGUUCCAUUUGGUUCUUUCCUUACUCUCAGUGAAUCAAAGCCUGACCUCUCCUUGGCUUUUUCUCCUUUCUCAAUACUCCAUGCACGCUUCUCUGACUAUGAAGUGUCGCCCCUGAUGUUCUCUCUGGCAUCUCUUGCAGGCUGCCAUGCUUAGUGGUAAAUUCCCUCCCCUGGAGAGGCAGUCACAGCUGUGUGUCCUACGAAAGGACUGAGCUGCUUGCUGCGUGCAAAGUAGAAGAAAACCAGUGUAAAUCGCAGUCCUAAUUGCCCAUAUGGGAGAUUUGCAAAGAAGGAAGUGAGUACAAUGAAAGAGCAGGGCAAGUCGUAAGCAGAAGGCUGAGACCGGAGUGCUGAGGGAAAAGCAGCCACCAUAUCAAGAAGUUCAGAAAUUGUUUCUGCUACUGCUGCUGAGGAUUCAAAGAGGGUUUUAGAAUAAAACAAAGUCCGCUGGUGUGAGGACUGAACUCCAUUUUCUGUGUGAGUCUGAGUAAAGAGAAAGAUAAACAGAACCUUUCACCGAUAGGCAUAUUUUAGAGUUCAAGUGUGACAUGAUGUGUCCAAAAUAGAUUCCACAUGAUUGGAGCAGAUCCAGAAUCCCAGUCCCUGAAUAGCAAUCAGUGUUGGAAGCUAAGAGCCGGCAUCCACUAUCAUCACAUGAAACAUGGAAGAAACGGCAAAUCCUAUACAGCUGUUAGUGAGUAAGGACAAGCCAUACAUGGAGCUGUAUGCUAUGGGCACAUUUUCUUAAAUUACACAGCUUAUUUUAAAUUGAGGGUCUAUUUGACUUUUUACAUGUCUUUUAAUGAAUACCCAGACUUUACAAAACUUUCUUUUCAUGAAUUUUCCUUUCAAAGAAGGAGAGUUAUGCUCUUUGCAAUAUUCAAUCCAGGCAGAACUAAUGACCCAAGGGCUUCAUGCUAGUUUAUUUUCAUAAAAAGCUCCCCUUAAUUUGAAAUCACAUAGGGUUCCAAGAAUCUCAGAAGACAGAGGCCAAAAGUCCAGGGCCCUAUAUGACUUCGUCAUGAAGAAGGCUGAGAGAUGGUGGGAAGCUUCACUUUCAGGACCAGGUAGACUGUCCUAUGUGGUCUGUCACUCUCUGACAAUUUUCAAAUAGGAGAAGAGGGGAGGAAAAAUUGAAGAAGAAAGGAGGCAGGGAGUGAGAAAAAGAAGAGGAAAGAGAAAAUGAGGCACUAGAAGAGAGAUGAGGUUCAUGGGACUCAGACAUUUUCUCUUCUAUUUAAGGACAACUAUUUUCCUUUAAAAUAGUCACCAGAAGGCCUUCAAGAUCAGUCCCUCCCAUGUGGCUAAUGUUUAGAACAUUUAAGAAAUCUUUAAAACUUUUAUAAUUUGAGAGGGUCAGUUGUAGGUCAUUUUCCAGCACACACACACACACACACACACACACACACACACACACACAAAUCUAAAGGGCUCUUGUUGCUAAAUGCAUGUUUGUGAGAGAUUGUCAAUCAAUGAACGAUCCCUUGUGCCAUGUUUUUUGGAGCCAUACUACUAUCAAAGUAAGAAAAGUAGCAAUAAAUGAAGAAUCAAGCACUUAUGGAGAAAUGGCUGGUACAGCCAUGUGCUACAACUGUACUCAUACUGGCUAGGAAGUCAGCAUCUGACCUCAAACCAAAAUGAUAGGAAUUAGACAACUGGAUCUUUCCUUUUGUGUUAACUUUCCCUUCAUUACUUCAGUGUCCCCAUAUGUAUUUGAAAUUCUGUGACUGCUACUUUAGCACAUCAUGGACUGUUUGUGUUUACAGAUAUUUCUCUUUGGUUAUACAAUUGCCCCUUAAACAACACAGGUUUGAACCAUGCCAGUCCACUUAUAUUGUUUGUUUGUUAUUUUUCAACCAAAUGCUAGAUGGAAAAGAUACAGUAUUCAUGAAACCUGCCUAUGUAGAUGCAAGUUCCACAGGGCUGACUGUGGGACUUGAGCAUGCACAGAUUUCGAUAUACAAGGGCAGUCCUGGAAGGAAUCCCCCAUGUAUACUGAGGGACCACUUUAUUAACCUCAAUUGUCCUUUAGUAUCUUAAAAAUAGAUCAAAGCAGAGGUUGGCAGUUUAGAAUGUCUACAGGUUAUUACUAAAAUAGAGUGAAAAAUAGAGGGAAAAAAUGACAAGGCUCCUUCUCUCUUCAUAUGAUGGUAUGAAUGAUGCAAAUCUUAACAACACAAAGAAAGAGUCCUUCCAGAAAGAUUUCUGAUGACUUUGGAGCUUUACUUUUUUCAUUAUACUUUGCAGUGCCUGCAAGUACUAUAAGAUAUUUGUUUAAAGAGAGGCUUGUGAUGGCCUGCUAGAGUUUAAUUACUAAGGUUACAAACAAAUAAAGCUUUAGUGUAUUGUAAAGCAUCGAUUCAUGGUUUUCACAAAUACCAUGAAAUUACAUAAUCAGAAAGCUUAGAGCCCAAAGCAACCUUUAAGGAUCACCUGGUCUUGUCUCAUAGCUUCAGAGAAAUCAGGUAUUAUUUAUGUUUGGUAGAUAAAGCACCUGAACUUCAAAAAGGCAUAGCGUCUUGCUCAAUCUCACCCAGUUAGUUUAGGGAAUUUGACCUCUUCUCUUUUGCUGCUAAUACAAUUCUUUGUAUGGAAUGAAAGUCCAGCCAACCUUAAAUCCAUAGAGAUAGAAAACAUAUUAGCAGUGUGCAGAGGUGAGAAAACUGUUCCAGAACUAGAUACUGGUGGUAGUUGCCUAACAUUUGGAAUGUACUAAAUGCUGCUCAACUGUUCACUUCAAAUGGUUAAAAUGGUGAUUUUAUGUGAAUUUUACCUUAAUUAAAAAACAAAAUCAAGAAUAACGUAUUGCUGUUCACCGUUCAUCUUUCUGUCUCCUCUACUUCCUGUCAAGUUCUCUGAGUUCAAGAACUGUGCCUUAUGUCACUUUGGCCCUCUAACACCUGGCACCAUGUUUGAGAAAGUCUGCUGGACCUCUUCCCCCAAAAUCCAACCAGCCACAAUAAUAAGUAUCCUCACACAUAGCAAAACCCUUUUUAUUGCUGAGUUUAUGACAUUGCCAUAAUUUUUUGUCCAGUUUGCCUUACUCCACUGUUGAGUCAGAUAAGAUUAUCUGAGACCUGACUGGAGUUAGCUCACCUCCAAGAGCGUAAAUAAAAGAACAUAUGGUUCGUUGAUAGGACCAGCAGUGCCAAGGAUAGUGGCCUGCAUGAAGUAGAUUCUUAUUAAAUAUUUGUCUUAGGGGUGAGGGAUGAAUCCCCUGGGAUCACCAGGAGCUAGAAAGGGAUAUUUUUUCACAAGAGUACAACCCAGUUUAGGUCCAUGAAAACAUCAGGUUUGAAGGUCCUAUCCCUGUUAGGUCAUUUAGACCCCUGCUCAUGAGGUAGCCCACAGGCACUAUACCAGUCCCAUAACCACUAACACUUACCAGAGAAAUAAGGUUGCCAAAGCUCAGUCCUAUAUAUUAAUACCAUCUCAGACAGUGGAGAAAGACAUGCAUUUGUUGUUUCAAUAUAUAUCUGUUCCUCACUAUCAAUGUUAAUCUUCUCAUGAAAACUGUCUCCAAAUGGAAAGCUAUUAAUUCAAAAGAAAAAAAGUACUAAUUGCAAUGGAAAAAGAUAUAAAUGGAAUAAUACAGUAUGUGUCCUUCUGUGAGGGCUUAUUUCUCUCAGCAUAAUACCCUCAAGAUUCAUGAUGUUGUCAAAUAUCGCAGAACUUUCUUCUUUUCAAAG
rnacentral:lncRNA from 1 species